rnacentral:rRNA from 1 species
GAGGAGCCCAGAGCCUGAAUCAGUGUGUGUGUUAGUGGAAGCGUCUGGAAAGGCGUGCGAUACAGGGUGACAGCCCCGUACACAAAAAUGCACAUAUUGUGAGCUCGAUGAGUAGGGCGGGACACGUGGUAUCCUGUCUGAAUAUGGGGGGACCAUCCUCCAAGGCUAAAUACUCCUGACUGACCGAUAGUGAACCAGUACCGUGAGGGAAAGGCGAAAAGAACCCCGGCGAGGGGAGUGAAAAAGAACCUGAAACCGUGUACGUACAAGCAGUGGGAGCCUCUUAAUGGGGUGACUGCGUACCUUUUGUAUAAUGGGUCAGCGACUUAUAUUCUGUAGCAAGGUUAACCGAAUAGGGGAGCCGAAGGGAAACCGAGUCUUAACUGGGCGUUAAGUUGCAGGGUAUAGACCCGAAACCCGGUGAUCUAGCCAUGGGCAGGUUGAAGGUUGGGUAACACUAACUGGAGGACCGAACCGACUAAUGUUGAAAAAUUAGCGGAUGACUUGUGGCUGGGGGUGAAAG